AUCGCAACCGGAAGAGCACACGAAGUAAUUAAUAAUUAUUCCUUAAGAGAAGAAAUCGUAUUUAUACUGGAAAAUACCUUUGACAAUGACUGCGAUUGAGGAAAGAUUGCCUCUUCUUACCAGUAUAACCAUAGUAUGAAAUCUCACUCAAGAUUUAAAGGAAGAGCCAUUCAAGACCAAGUUAAAUGAAGUGCUUCAAAAGAAUCCUGGCUACACAAAACUAAAGGAACUCUCAACAUGUGACAACCUUGUAUACAAAAAUAUUGUCAAUUGUGAUACUGAGAGUCUUUAGUAUGAUGAAUAUCAUCAAUACGAAAAGAAGUUCCCUACUAAGAACUAAGAAAUUGAGGGAUUUGUUGAUCACCAAAUGGAAUGAAUGUUUCGUUAUCAUUUAAUUGUCUACACAUUUCGUGCCAAAGUUAUCUAUUCAGCCUUUAUGGUCAGUCGUCACUAAGAAGUUAUGAGUACACUUCCUGUUAUGAUGGGUUUGAUGUUCUCAAACUAACAAUAUAUUUUGUCUUGUAGAAUGUAAUAUACAUUUAUAAAGUUAUUUAUAGGGAAGUUCAAUGAUAAUAUAAAAUGAUGGUUCA
rnacentral:lncRNA from 1 species